GGUCGGCGGGCCACCUGACCCGCUCCAACCGCCGUCUGGUGUGUCUAGAAGUGGUUCGUGCAAACCUCAUUUUCUGAUAUUGGCCUUUCUGGUGGUUUUGUUCCAUACACGUCCGCUGUAGAAGGACCAGCCUCACUGAUAAAAAGUCAGUCCUUCGCCUUCUCUGUCCUCAAAGAAAAACUUGGGCCACGAAUGCGCUUUAGAAGGUGUAAAUAUUGAAAAAGGCAAGUAAUGAGGGAAAAAGGCUGUGAAUGACUCACUUUUUUUUUUCUAAACAUAAAUAGCCAAAGAAGGGAAUGAAGGAAGAGGAUAUUUAGCAAGACACCAAAAUGACUUUUUGAUCACCUUCAGAGAGCUAUUUAACAUCAUGCCUCAGAAUCACAACAGUCAAGGUUGCUCUUCGAAAUUGAGAAAGACAGAGCAAUGAGUAAUUCCAUAAUGCUGAAGGCCAUCAACAUAGUCAAAAUUCCCUGUAACAGAAGAAGAAAAAAAAAUGAAGAGUUAUACUAUUAGCACGAUAAUGGAUUUUCUGAUGACAAUGAGGUAGCAAUGCCCAGGAAGAUUGGCCCUGAGCUAACAUCUGUGCCCAUCCUUCUCUAUUUUAUAUGUGGGACACCUGC